AGAAGGCACGCUGAUAUGUAGGUGAAGUCCCUCGCGGAUGGAGCUGAAAUCAGUCGAAGAUACCAGCUGGCUGCAACUGUUUAUUAAAAACACAGCACUGUGCAAACACGAAAGUGGACGUAUACGGUGUGACGCCUGCCCGGUGCCGGAAGGUUAAUUGAUGGGGUUAGCGCAAGCGAAGCUCUUGAUCGAAGCCCCGGUAAACGGCGGCCGUAACUAUAACGGUCCUAAGGUAGCGAAAUUCCUUGUCGGGUAAGUUCCGACCUGCACGAAUGGCGUAAUGAUGGCCAGGCUGUCUCCACCCGAGACUCAGUGAAAUUGAACUCGCUGUGAAGAUGCAGUGUACCCGCGGCAAGACGGAAAGACCCCGUGAACCUUUACUAUAGCUUGACACUGAACAUUGAGCCUUGAUGUGUAGGAUAGGUGGGAGGCUUUGAAGUGUGGACGCCAGUCUGCAUGGAGCCGACCUUGAAAUACCACCCUUUAAUGUUUGAUGUUCUAACGUUGACCCGUAAUCCGGGUUGCGGACAGUGUCUGGUGGGUAGUUUGACUGGGGCGGUCUCCUCCUAAAGAGUAACGGAGGAGCACGAAGGUUGGCUAAUCCUGGUCGGACAUCAGGAGGUUAGUGCAAUGGCAUAAGCCAGCUUGACUGCGAGCGUGACGGCGCGAGCAGGUGCGAAAGCAGGUCAUAGUGAUCCGGUGGUUCUGAAUGGAAGGGCCAUCGCUCAACGGAUAAAAGGUACUCCGGGGAUAACAGGCUGAUACCGCCCAAGAGUUCAUAUCGACGGCGGUGUUUGGCACCUCGAUGUCGGCUCAUCACAUCCUGGGGCUGAAGUAGGUCCCAAGGGUAUGGCUGUUCGCCAUUUAAAGUGGUACGCGAGCUGGGUUUAGAACGUCGUGAGACAGUUCGGUCCCUAUCUGCCGUGGGCGCUGGAGAACUGAGGGGGGCUGCUCCUAGUACGAGAGGACCGGAGUGGACGCAUCACUGGUGUUCGGGUUGUCAUGCCAAUGGCACUGCCCGGUAGCUAAAUGCGGAAGAGAUAAGUGCUGAAAGCAUCUAAGCACGAAACUUGCCCCGAGAUGAGUUCUCCCUGACCCUUUAAGGGUCCUGAAGGAACGUUGAAGACGACGACGUUGAUAGGCCGGGUGUGUAAGCGCAGCGAUGCGUUGAGCUAACCGGUACUAAUGAACCGUGAGGCUUAACCUU
rnacentral:rRNA from 1 species